ACGAAAGCGUCCAGUACUUUUGUUUUAGCGUUGUCACAAGUAAACGUCAGAGCUAGAUGGUUAGCUGUGUGUCUAAAUACCUGCAUCUUGCUUCCACAUGUAGCUAACGUUAGGAGCUUGGACUGUGAGUGGGGCUGAGAAAAUGGCUUCAUGUUCCAGAUCAUCUCUUCCAGAGGAAGAUUUCACCUGUCCUGUGUGCUGACAUCUUCAAGGAUCCCGUCCUCCUACCAUGUAGCCACAGCUACUGUAAAGUCUGUGCGCAGCACUGCUGGGAGUUGAAGGGGUUUCGGGAAUGCCCCUUUUGCAGAAAGAGAUUUUCAAUGGGUAAUCCUCCCUGUAACCUGGCACUAUAGAACCUGUGUGAGGCCUACCUUGAGGAGAGUCUAAAGUGCUCAGCAGUCUGCAUGGUGAGAAAUUCAAGUACUAUUGUCUGGAGGACAGGCAGCCCAUCUGUUUAGUGUGUCAAUCUUCUAGAAAACACAAGAGUAAUGACUGCUGCCCCAUAGAGGAAGCUGUUCAGGACCUCAAGGACAAGGGUGAACUCCAGAGAGCACUAAAACCCUCACAGGAGAUGCUGAAGGUGUUCAAAGAAGCUACAGAAAUCUGUACUCCCACAAUGCCUCACAUUCAGAGACAAUUCCAAGACACAGAGAUGGAGAUCAAGCAUGAAUUCAAGGAGUUUCAGCAGUUUCUUAGAGAUGAAGAGAAGGCCAGGAUUGACACACUGAGGCAGGAACAGUUUGUGAAGACUUCAGCAAUGGGUUAAUAGGAUUGACCAGUGGAGACAAGAGAUGUCAUCACUUGUAAACACAAUUGAAGCUAUAGAGGAUGAGCUGUGAGAUGAAGACACCUCAUUCCUUCAGGUCAGGACUGCUCUAAGUUAACAUGAUUUGUUGGUGCAUUUAUACUGAUAAAUAGUGAUAGAUAAAUAUCGGAAUUGAAUCUGGUAGUUUGUUCUUCUGCAUAACUACAAUACUAUAAUGGAAAGGUAAGUGAGCUGCAUCCUGUCUCUCUCUUCUCUGUGUGUUCGGAACUGCCACAGCACAACCCCCACUGACUCCUGAAGAUUCUUCCAGUGCACACUGCCAGAUCCAGAUACACAGCUGGUCUCAGGAGCACUGAUUGACAUGGCUAAACAUCUGGGCAAUCUGCAGUUCAAAGCUUGGGAGAAGAUGCAGAGGAAUGGGAUUGUCACUUACAAACUUUUUAAGCGCACGUGUUUCCGCACGGGCCCUUUUAGGCGCAGAACACGACACGGAACACAGCUACAGCAGAGAGGAAGAGAGCUCCUGUGAUUCUGGACCCCAACACUGCCCACUCACAAAUUGUCCUGUCUGAUGAUCUUACCAUUGGCACACACUUGGAGCACAGCAUGCAGCUUCCUGACAACCCAGAGAGGUUUGAUAAAUGGCCCUCGGUCCUGGGCUCUGAGGGCUUUGACUCAGGCUUACACACUUAGGAUGUUGUGGUUGUGGAAAAUGAAGAGUGGAUGGUGGGUGUUCUAUCAGAGUCUGCCCUGAGGAAGGGAGAAAUAAAGACUAGAGACCAGUCCUGGGAUUUAACACACUUGUAUGGUACAUACAAAGCUUUUCCCCCACCAAAUGACCAAAUCCUCCUCACUGUAGACUAUACCAGGACAAUUAGAGUGCAGCUGGACUGUGACAAAGGAACACUCUCAUUCUCUAACCCUGAUAAUGCCACACAUAAUAUACACACGUUCACACACACUUUUACUGAGAGAGUCUUUCCACAUCUUGGUAAUAACAGCAAAUACCCUCUGACGAUCUUACCUGGGGAGGUAACGUUAGUGAUAUCACCUGUCAAGUGUAAAGCUGAUCCAGACUCUGAGAAUGAAGAUGAAUUGAAGAAGAAUGCUUCUUUGUCUGUCAUUUUCAGAUCACGAAAACUGGUGUCUUUUGAUGUUUUUUAGUGGAACUGCAGUCAGAACCAGCUGAUACAAGUUGCAUUUGUUGUAAGCAAAAUGCUCUGUUCAUUUGGAUUUUAGUUGAUGUUUCAUGUUGAUAUGUUACCAAGAUAUAUUUUCAUUGUGCCAUUUUUUUGUCUUGAGAGAAGAGAAUAUUUUAUGUAAAGGUUAAUGAGUCCAUUAAGACAUGAUUAAAACAAUUCAUUUUUAACCGGA